AUAAAAAAAAUUGUAAAUGGGUAACGUAGGUUGGUGUUUGAUUUUAUUUCUAUUUUAUAAUUAUUAUUUUUAUAUAUAUUUCAUGUUAGUUUUGCUUUAUUCAAAAACAUAAAAAAAUUUAAAAUUAGAAAUUUUUUUUUUUUUUAAAAAAAAAAAAAAGGUCGAUCCCAAAAUAGGUGGGAGAUCGAUCCCAUUUUCUUGGCAGAGAGCAACAAACAAAUAGCCUAAGUGGAUCGAUCCUCCAUCCAUGUGGAUCGAUCCUCCAUACACGUGGAUCAAUCCCAUUUUACUUGUAUUUCCCCUUUCCCAUUACACAGUGAAGGGGAAAUUUUUUGCCUAAAAUUAUAAAUCCCCGUCAAAGCAGAUCGAUCGCCCCUUAGCCCUUGAAACAACAAAUACAUUCCUCUUCUCUGUUCUUUAAAAUUUUGCUUCUUUCCCCAAAAACAAAAUCUCUAAACCCAAUUUCAUUGUCCAACCUUAACGGUUGGCUCUUCUCUCCGAUCGCAUCUGGGUCGUCUUUCCGGCGUCACAUCUCUGUUCUUUCAACGGCAUCGCAGCUGGGUUCUUCUGGCGAGCUUCCCAGAGAUUCACGGCUAUUCGCGAAUCGGAUGUUCUUUCGGCGAUUUUGAUUUGGCCGACGGUUUUUGAGUUUGUGAAUCGCCGUUUUCCUUCCGACGAUUUUUAUUUGGUUUUCUCUAGCGAUCGCGGCUGUUCGUCUUUCCGGCGUCGCGGCUGUUCGCUGUUCCUUCCGGCGAUUCAGAUCGCGGCUACUUCUUCCAACGGCGAUCAAGGCUGGUUCUUCUCCGGCCGCGAUUUCUGACGAUUAGGUUCUUCGUUUCUUGAUUUCCGGCACCGGCUGGAUUCUCUUCAGCGAUUUUGACUGGGUCUUUCCGGCGAGAAUGCGAAACGUCGUUCUCCCGCGAUUUUGGCUGGAUUUCGACUGGUUCUGCUUCAGAUCUCGGUUGGGUCGCGAUGGGUCACUGUUCUUCACUGAUUUUUCUGGGUUGCGUUUCCUUACGGUGAAUUUCUGAAUUGCCGUUUUCUUCCGGCUAGCUUUUGAAUCGCCGGGUUCUUCUCAAAUCGCCAUCGCAAUUGCUCUCUCUCUGACGAACACGGCUGGGCUCUUCUCGCGGCUGUUCGUAGUUCUUCUCCGGCGUCGCGGCUUGGCUGCUGGGUCUCGCCGGCGAUUCUUGGACUGGGUUUACCUAGCGCUGCCGGUUGUCUUCUCUGGCGAGCUUGUGAUGUUUUUAAAAAAAAACAAAAAAAAAAAAAAAAAAAAUUGAAUUGAUUUAUUUUAAAUAAAAAAUAAUAAUAAUAAAAAUAAAUUAAUUAAUUAAAAAAAAAAUUCACUAGCAUUCUGUCUCGCUAAAGACGUUAAACUUAGCUCUUUUUAUUUAUUUAUUUUUUUUUAUUUUGUAGGUUGUAUAUACAUUUUUUUUUUUUUUGUUUCUUAAAAAUAAAAAAUAAAAAACAAAAUCUUAAUUUUCUUUCCAUUUAUUAUUAUUUUUUUAUUAUUAUGUAUAUAUAUAUUUAUUUUAUUUUAGUAUAUAUUUUUCUUUCUAGUUUAGUAUAUUUUUCUUUGUGUUAAAAAAAAUAAUAAAUAAAAAAAAAAUCAAAAAUAUGUGUUUCCAGUAUGCCCUUCUGAUUGGUUAGGAAUGUUUUCAGAUUUUAUCAAGAGUUUCAUCUCAUAUCUCUUUACAAUGUAUUAUAUAUUAUUUUGAAUUGUAUGAAUUGCUUAUCCCAUGUGAUAUUUGAUGUGAGUUUGCUAGUAUGGUUAUACAGAUAGGUUUUUGCAUCCAAGUUUGGGGGAGACAUCUUUCCUACUGAAUCAUUGCCGGACUUCAUAGUCUUUACCAUCACGGGCAAUAAAGUUAAAAUGAGCUAAAAACGGUCCAUUAAAGCCUUUUUGGAGUCAAGCAAAGAUAUUCAGAAAAAGUUCAGAAAAUGACAAAAAGAGGUCGUAGCCCAUUGCUCGUAUAGUGUGUUUAUUCUUCGAAAGCGGUCAAUCUCGGGCCUUUGAUGAUGUUCCCAAAGAUGAAGAAGCAAACCAAUUAGCCCGGAGCCAAAAUGGAGCUAAAUAAGGCUUAAAGGAAAUUUCCAACUCUGGGGGGAUCGAUCCCCCAGGGUGGGGGAUCGAUCCCCCAGGACUUGGCAACAUUACAGAUUUUUUUUUAUUGUUUGGGCUUAUUUUGUGAACUAUUGGGCUUUAAUAGGGUUGUUACUUAAGGCCCAGUGAGCCAUUAGAUUAGGGUUAGUAUUUAUUUUAUUUAGGUAAAUAUUAUUAGAUUAUUGAUAAAAGUUUUUAUAUUAUUAUUCUGUAUCGAUUUUUUUAUUCUCUCUGAAAAACACGAAGAGGAAAAAGCUAGGGUUCUUGAGAAAAACUCAGAGAAGAAGAAGAGGAGCCAGAUGAAUCAAAGAAUGGGGCUUGUUGACAUCUUGCAUCCAUCAACCAUGAGUGGCUGAUUCUUCAACUUAGGGUUGGAUAAACCCUAAGCAUGUAACCUAAUUCUUAACUCUUGACUUUUAGGGAUUAAUUUGUGUAAUUUAUGUUAUAGCCUUGAUAUAUAUAUAUAUUAAUUCUUUCAUUUGAUUGUC